GCUUUUGAGAAAGGUUUUUUCCCUAAAAAAACACUUCUCACCUAAAAGCAUUGCCAAACAAAUAUAAGUUGAAUGAAAAUUUCAAAUUUAAAAAAGUUCUUUUUGACAGAUGAAAAAGUUGAAAAUUUUAACUUUUUCCUUAGCCAAAAAUGCUUUUGUUGGCUAUUUACAUUUUUAUCCUGAAAUUGUCUUCUCCCAAAUGACACGUUAGAAUACCUAUUUUUCUUCAUUUUCUCUUUCAAAGUUUUUUUCUUUGGUUCUCUUCUCUUUUAUUUUCUUCAAGUUGUUCCUCUUUUAAUUCCUCCACCGGAAAAGGUUGCUAGAGAGCUUGGCAUACUAGUGCAAUUGUAGCGAUUCUGGUUAUGGGCCAAGCAUCAAAACCAUACCUACCGUCCAAAUCGACCAUUGACACCUUUGGAGGAAACUUAAUCUGUAAUAUUCCUCAACAUAAGUUGUUAUACCCUAGUUCAAUAGUCUUGUUUGAGGAGUAUUGGUUUCUAGAUUUAGCUUCAGUCAUUGUUUAACGCAGUAUUGGAUUUAAUUAAUAUGUUGUCUUCAUUUUUCUUGCUUUGCUUUGCAUACCUCUCUCUUUCACUCUGUGCGUGUGUUGAAUGAAUAUAUAUGUACAAACACACAUGUACUUAAAUAUCAAUAAGUUUCCUUUAAAGAACACAGAA